UACAGAGGGGGCAAGCGUUGUUCGGAAUUACUGGGCGUAAAGGGCGCGUAGGCGGCCUUCUAAGUCGAACGUGAAAUCCCCGGGCUCAACCCGGGAACUGCGUCCGAUACUGGAAGGCUUGAAUCCGGGAGAGGGAUGCGGAAUUCCAGGUGUAGCGGUGAAAUGCGUAGAUAUCUGGAGGAACACCGGUGGCGAAGGCGGCAUUCUGGACUGUAUCUGACACUGAUGAACGAAAGCCAGGGGAGCAAACGGG
rnacentral:rRNA from 1 species